rnacentral:tRNA from 1 species
GGGAAAGGCCCGCCGGCACCGAAAACUGCUAAUUUCUCGCCUCCUUGGUUGGACUCCAAGGCUUACUCG